AUUGAACGCUGGCGGCAGGCCUAACACAUGCAAGUCGAACGAGUGGCGGACGGGUGAGUAAUGUCUGGGAAACUGCCUGAUGGAGGGGGAUAACUACUGGAAACGGUAGCUAAUACCGCAUACCAUCCGAUGUGCCCCGAUGGGAUUAGCUAGUUGGUGGGUUAACGGCUCACCAAGGCGACGAUCCCUAGCUGGUCUGAGAGGAUGACCAGCAACACUGGAACUGAGACACGGUCCAGACUCCUACGGGAGGCAGCAGUGGGGAAUAUUCUACAAUGGGCGAAAGCCUGACCUAGCAACGCCGCGUGAAUGAAGAAGGUUUUCGGAUCGUAAAGCUCUUUUUUCAGAGAGGCGGUACCUGACCAAGAAGCCACGGCUAACUCCGUGCCAGCAGCCGCGGUAAUAC
rnacentral:rRNA from 1 species